rnacentral:rRNA from 1 species
AUGCUUCUACUUUCUGUAUGGAGUUGGGAGAGUCUGCCUGUUGGACACCCGAAGAGCGUCAAGCUUAAUCCUUGGGAUGAAGAUGACGAAUUACGGCGCCCCACUUGGGCUUACAAGUGGGAUGUGGUAUCCGGGAUGACGAGCGAUGUCAAUCUCAUGUACCAAAAGUACACCGCCGAGAUGGACACAUUACGCCUGAGCAGGUAA